GAUGAACGCUGGCGGCGUGCCUAAUACAUGCAAGUCGAGCGAACGGACGAGAAGCUUGCUUCUCUGAUGUUAGCGGCGGACGGGUGAGUAACACGUGGAUAACCUACCUAUAAGACUGGGAUAACUUCGGGAAACCGGAGCUAAUACCGGAUAAUAUUUUGAACCGCAUGAUUCAAAAGUGAAAGACGGUCUUGCUGUCACUUAUAGAUGGAUCCGCGCUGCAUUAGCUAGUUGGUAAGGUAACGGCUUACCAAGGCAACGAUGCAUAGCCGACCUGAGAGGGUGAUCGGCCACACUGGAACUGAGACACGGUCCAGACUCCUACGGGAGGCAGCAGUAGGGAAUCUUCCGCAAUGGGCGAAAGCCUGACGGAGCAACGCCGCGUGAGUGAUGAAGGUCUUCGGAUCGUAAAACUCUGUUAUUAGGGAAGAACAUAUGUGUAAGUAACUGUGCACACCUUGACGGUACCUAAUCAGAAAGCCACGGCUAGCUACGUG
rnacentral:rRNA from 1 species